UGAUAUAAUUGGACUUUGGCC
rnacentral:miRNA from 1 species